UACGUCGGGUGCGAGCGUUGUCCGGAAUUAUUGGGCGUAAAGAGCUCGUAGGCGGUGUGUCACGUCGGCCGUGAAAACCUGCAGCUUAACUGUGGGCGUGCGGUCGAUACGGGCAUCACUGGAGUUCGGCAGGGGAGACUGGAAUUCCUGGUGUAGCGGUGAAAUGCGCAGAUAUCAGGAGGAACACCGGUGGCGAAGGCGGGUCUCUGGGCCGAUACUGACGCUGAGGAGCGAAAGCGUGGGGAGCAAACAGG
rnacentral:rRNA from 1 species